GAUGAACGCUGGCGGCGUGCCUAAUACAUGCAAGUCGAGCGAAUGGAUUAAGAGCUUGCUCUUAUGAAGUUAGCGGCGGACGGGUGAGUAACACGUGGGUAACCUGCCCAUAAGACUGGGAUAACUCCGGGAAACCGGGGCUAAUACCGGAUAAUAUUUUGAACUGCAUGGUUCAAAAUUGAAAGGCGGCUUCGGCUGUCACUUAUGGAUGGACCCGCGUCGCAUUAGCUAGUUGGUGAGGUAACGGCUCACCAAGGCAACGAUGCGUAGCCGACCUGAGAGGGUGAUCGGCCACACUGGGACUGAGACACGGCCCAGACUCCUACGGGAGGCAGCAGUAGGGAAUCUUCCGAAAUGGACGAAAGUCUGACGGAGCAACGCCGCGUGAGUGAUGAAGGCUUUCGGGUCGUAAAACUCUGUUGUUAGGGAAGAACAAGUGUUAGUUGAAUAAGCUGGCACCUUGACGGUACCUAACCAGAAAGCCACGGCUAACUACGUGCCAGCAGCCGCUGUAA
rnacentral:rRNA from 1 species